rnacentral:rRNA from 2 species
UACGGAGGGUGCAAGCGUUACUCGGAAUCACUGGGCGUAAAGGGUGCGUAGGCUGGCUUCUAAGUCAGAUGUGAAAUCCAAUGGCUUAACCAUUGAACUGCAUUUGAAACUGGGAGCCUAGAGUUCAGAAGGGGCAGAUGGAAUUAGUGGUGUAGGGGUAAAAUCCGUAGAUAUCACUAGGAAUAUCAAAAGCGAAGGCGAUCUGCUGGGAUGAUACUGACGCUGAGGCACGAAAGCGUGGGGAGCAAACAGG